GACGAACGCUGGCGGCGUGGAUUAGGCAUGCAAGUCGAACGGUAGGAUACCUUCGGGUAUCUGAGAGUGGCGAACGGGUGAGUAACACGUAGGUGAUCUACCCUCAAGAUUGGGACAACCCAGGGAAACUUGGGCUAAUACCGGAUGAAAGCAGCAGUGAUGUUGUUUGAAAGGUGGCGUAAGCUGCCGUUUGGGGAUGAGCCUGCGCUCUAUUAGUUAGUUGGCGGGGUAAAGGCCCACCAAGGCGAUGAUAGAUAGGCGGCCUUAACGGGUGGUCGCCCACACUGGGAUUGAGAUACGGCCCAGACUCCUACGGGAGGCAGCAGUCGAGAAUAGUCUACAAUGGCCGAAAGGCUGAUAGUGCGACGCCGCGUGAACGAAGAAGCCCUUCGGGGUGUAAAGUUCUUUUAUAUGUGAGCAGUGCUUUCUAUGUGAACAGCAUGGGGAAGAGAUAUUAGCAUAUGAAUAAGCAACGGCUAACUCCGUGCC
rnacentral:rRNA from 1 species